rnacentral:rRNA from 1 species
GUAAUACAUCGGAACGUGCCCAGUAGUGGGGGAUAGCCCGGCGAAAGCCGGAUUAAUACCGCAUACGACCUACGGGUGAAAGCGGGGGACCGAAAGGCCUCGCGCUAUUGGAGCGGCCGAUGGCUGAUUAGCUAGUUGGUGGGGUAAAGGCCUACCAAGGCUACGAUCAGUCGCUGGUCUGAGAGGACGACCAGCCACACUGGGACUGAGACACGGCCCAGACUCCUACGGGAGGCAGCAGUGGGGAAUUUUGGACAAUGGGCGAAAGCCUGAUCCAGCAAUGCCGCGUGUGCGAGGAAGGCCUUCGGGUUGUAAAGCACUUUUGUCAGGAAAGAAAUUGUCUGGGCUAAUACCCCGGGCCGUUGACGGUACCUGAAGAAUAAGCACCGGCUAACUACGUGCCAGCAGCCGCGGUAAUACGUAGGGUGCGAGCGUUAAUCGGAAUUACUGGGCGUAAAGCGUGCGCAGGCGGUUUGUUAAGACAGUUGUGAAAUCCCCGGGCUCAACCUGGGAACUGCAAUUGUGACUGGCAGGCUAGAGUUUGGCAGAGGGGGGUGGAAUUCCUGGUGUAGCAGUGAAAUGCGUAGAUAUCAGGAGGAACACCGAUGGCGAAGGCAGCCCCCUGGGCCAUGACUGACGCUCAUGCA